ensembl:lncRNA
AUCUCACGUGACAUCAUGACGCCACUCCAGCGCAGCCCCAGUGCGGCAGCAGCCCCAGUGCGGCAGCAGCCAGGGCUUUCACGGUGAAGCUCAUACAGACCUAUUGCGCAAGUAGCCCGUGACCCAGCCAGGACCUCGUGACACGCACGCUCAGCACUGUGAGUGAUCUCAGCCGUUAUCCAACCACGCAGUCGCUGUUGACAGAUCGUGGGGUGAGAGAGUGUGAGGGCGUGGGGCGAGAGGGCCUGACUGGCACCAUCUUGUUAAUUUCCCCAUUCCCACCAAGAGGACGGUCUCUGUAUUCAGCCUUCCCCUUGCCCAGGGUCUACAGAAUCCUAACUUGCAAAGCAGACACUUCCAAAUGAAAACAUUCUCCCCUUUCCACAAUGGUGGACUUGAUCACUUAAAAAUCCUCAGUCCAAAGUGGUAAUGAUGAACGCAAACCCUCUGGGGGUGUUUUUUCAAAAUAGCGUGUAUGGACAGACCAAGCCUGAAAACACAUUCACAAGACGCACAACUAGACCGCGCUUUCCAGUCUCCGUUACAAUGUUCUGGCCACAGAAUGAAAGUAAAAGUGUUAUGUGCCCCUUUCAGGCCUGCUCUAUAAAUAUAUUCCUCAUAUGAUUCCCGCAUCUCUCUCUGUCUCAUCUGUCACAUACAUGGAGAAGACUCAAAGGACCUAACAGAGAGCGGGGGGAUCGCAAGAAAAUGGGAGCUUGGGCUCCUGAGCAGCUGAGUAAAACAGAGGUUCUUCCUAUCACUAUAAACCUACACUGGACUAUGACUCAAGCAAACAGUAAAUUUCACUGUGUUAAGUCACUAAGAUGCAUU